ensembl:lncRNA
CAGAGAUUUUCUGCAGGUAUUAUCUGUAGUGUGUGUGGGAGAGACAAAAUUCAUAACUGAGCUGGGCAUGAGAAAUGUACCUGUGGCAAUAACAGAAGAUACUGAAUCGGUGUUCUGUUCCUCCUUAAACCUUCCAUGUGCCAUGAUUCCCACGUCUAUAGCUUCUUCCCUAGCUUCUAAAGAAGUUUCUCAGCAAACUCAACGGAUGACUUUAGCAAAGAUAAUGGUGUCACCCCCCAACUGGAGCUGACAACAAGAAAUUCAGUGCCUACCAGGAGAUGGAUGAAGAUGUGCUGAGCCGAGUGCCGAAGAAGCAGGAAUUCCCGCAAGUUAGAAGCUGCGUCAGACUCACGCGAGAACAGGAUUGAGAUUUCCAUAAGCACCUGGGUCUAAUGGAGGUUGAGGCUUCCUCUCCAAACCCUCUUUAUUCCACUCACUUUCAGCUGCAGAAGCCAAUUUGUGGCUCUUCAGAAACUAGUGAAACCAAAGGGCAAGCCAUUUAACAUCACAGUAAUCCAAGUUGAUUCCCAACCACUGAGGCUGAAGGAGAUGAAGUUGAAUGGUUCUAUGAAGACAUACCACAGUUUCUAGACAUCAAAAUGAAGAUGUCCUUUUCAUCAUAGGGGUCUGAAAUGCAAAAGUAGGAAGACAAAGAUACCUGGAGUAAUAGGCAAGUUUGGUCUUGGAAUAAAAAAUGAAGUAACGUAAAGGCUAACAGAGUUUUGCUAAGAGAAUACACCGGUCAUAGCAAACACCCUCUUCCAACAGUACAAGAGGUGUCUCUACACAGGGGCAUCAUCAUGUGGUUAAUACCCAAAUCAGAUUGAUUAUAUUCUUUUCAGCCAAAGAUGGAAAAGCUCUAUACAGUUAGCAAAAACAAGAUCAGGAGCUGACUGUGGUUCAGAUUAUGGACUCCUUAUUGCAAAAUUCAGACUUAAAUUGAAAGAAGUAGGCCAUUUUAAUUGAAAACUGCUAGACCAUUCAGGUAUGACCUAAAUCAAAUCCCUUAUGAUUAUACUGUGUAAGUGACAAAUAGAUUCAAGGGAUUAGAUUGGACAGACAGAAUGGCUGAAGAACUAUGGAUGGAGGUUCAUAACAUUGUAAGGAGGCUAUGACCAAAACCAUCCCAAAUAAAAAAAGAUACAAGAAGGCAAAGUGGUUCUCUGAGGAGGCUUUACAAAUAGCUGAGAAAUGAAGAGAAAAGAAAAAAAAAAAGGCAAGGGGGAAAGGGAAAGAUAUAUCCAACUGAAUGCAGAGUGCUAGAGAAAAGCAAGGAGAGAUAAGAAUGGCUUCUUAAAUGAACAAUGCAAAGACAUGCAGGAAAAACAGAGAGUGGAAAAGACUAGAGAUCCCUUCGAGAAAAUUGGAGAUAUCAAGGGAACAUUUCAUGCAAGGAUGGGCCCAAUAAAGGACAGAAAAUGUGAGGAAUUAACAGAGGCAGAACAGAUUAAGAAGAGAUAUACCAAACAGUACGAAAAAAGGUCUUAUUGACUGGGAUAAC